GAUAGCCGUGCUGGUUUUAAGAGGUUUGUCUUUACUCCUCGGUGAUGUGGGCAGCUCCCAAGGCUCCCGCGCGUCCUCUCCAUAGCAGAUGUGACUUGAUAGGGGGGAGAACAACCAGAUCUGAGAAGAAAAACGUGGACUCCACACCCUAGUGCUUUUUAGCAUAUUCUGGAACCAGUGCCAUGUGGCUUGGCCAUUGGAGUCUGUCCUUCCUGCCAGGGCAGCUCCCAUUCCUGGGAGCAUCAUACAGGUGACUGGGGAUGCAGCACCGAGCAGCCCAGACUGGACUCCUCCCUCAUGAAACUCACGUCCCACUGGAAGAGGCAGGUGAUCCAGGUAUCAAUGGCUUUCCUCCUGGGUCAUGUUGGUUUAUUACUGGCUCUUCAAAAGAUAUGACCAGAGGCCAGGACUUCAUCACUGCUGACUGCAGUCCUCCAGCAGACAUCAGGUUCUGUUAAUGCAGCCCAAGGUCACAUGCACUGCUGCUUAACGUGGGCCCAGCCAAGAACACUGUAUCUUUGUGAGGGAUGCUCUGAACUCAAAAGCCUUUACGAGAUCCUGGGGCCAUGUCUGCUGCUUGGACUGUGUCUGGGAAGCUGGACUCCUGGCUGGUGGGCAGUGGGCUGGAGCGACACUGCCCCCUCAUGGUCUCCUCUGAAACAUGCGACCAUCAGGAGUCUGUGGAAAGUGCUACUACAGUGACGAGCAUACAAGCAGAGGUCCUGAGCGCCGGCUCCUGGUUCUCACAGUUUCCCUGAGGAAGAAAUUGAAGCAGCAGGAAAGGACCAAGAAGCCACAGGUGCUCCCCAUCGCUGCUCUCAGAGACCUGCACCUGCCUGGGAAGCCGUCUUCCCCUGUGGCCCCUGGUGGGCAUGGGGCAGAGAAGCCCGGCUGGUCCUGGACAGUCCCUCUCCCUGCCUGUCUGGGCUUGGUGCUGCUGCUCUGCCCAUGUCCUUGCUUUGCCCAGAUGCCUGGCUGGCUCAGAGGACUUCUGCCAGUCCUUCUGGGUCUGCGGGCUGGAGUAGCGGCUGGGAGGUGAGUCUGUUUACUCCAUCGCCCCCUCUUCACCCUCCACAGCACAAGGCAGAGCGCUCACUUAGAUUAAUUAAUCUGCUGCCCAGCCUGCUUCUCUGACCCAUCUUUUAUUCAUGGACAAGCGGCGUUCUCUGCCUUACUAGGACGCGAGCAUCAAUAUUUCAUCCUGGCUUCGCCUGCCAGCAUCCUGCUCCCUCCUUCCUGCGUCCCACCCGCUCUAGGACCCGGAGGGCUGGGGCAUGCUGGCCUAGCCCAGGGCGUCAUCGCGGAUGCCCAUGCUGCCUUCUUUGGCCCCUUAGCCUGCCCACUGUGCCAUCAUGGGCAGAGCCAGCAUCCGAGCCAGAAGCCUUUCUGAGUAAGUGAGCUGGAGAGGUGGCGCAGGUGGAGGGGCUGGGCCUGGAGGGAGGGUCUGGGCUCAGGAUCCUGCAUGGGUCGGGGGAGAUGUCCUGGUGUGUGUAUGGGGGAGGGGGAUGAUGCUGCAGCUGACAUGACAGUCUUGUCACUGUGUUGCUGGGUGGCUGUCAGGGCAGGAGACGAGGGCUGUGCAGUGCCUGACACAGCUGGGUCCACAGCAAGUGCUCAUUUUCCUGCCUUCAUUUUCUUUCUUCAGUUUUCUCUUACACCAGGUGUUACUGAUCUUUUCCGCCCUCCUAUCCUCAGCUGUUUAUUGAAGGAAGUGAUACCAGCGUUCAGGAGACACCUUCUGUACCCCCAGCACCCAGCCCUUCUCACCUCGUUCCCUUCCCGGUGCCCCAGGCUUCCCCGUGGGUGCUCAGGACCACAGAGUCUGAACCUCGGACCUGGAGGAGCCCUUACCUGGAUCCCAGCCCAGGGCUCUUAGCCUGGGGCCCAUGGAGGGCCUUCCGGAAGAGAUAACAACAGACCAACCUGGAGGGUUCUUGUGAAGACAAAAACGAGACCAAGACACUUAGCGUGGUGUGUGGCGCAGCGUGAGUGGUCAAGGAACACGAGGCUGUCACUUUACAAGAUGCCCGCUGUGCCUCACCACAUCAGAUGCUGGCCUCGACUCUGAGCCGGCAGUGCAGCGCUUGCCAGGCCCCUUCCAGGAACAACGCCGUCUAGAGACAGAUAAGUGGAAGAUGCAGACCUCUGCUGGACCCAGGGGUUUGGAUCAUUUUCCUUGCGGAUGGAAUACCCAGAAGGCCACCCUGGACCAGGGUUCUGAAAGACUCAUGAUGGCUAUGGAGUGAAGGCCCUCUAUUGUCUUCAAGAGGAGGCCAAGGCUCAGGAAGAAGGAGGUGGUUUAUCCUUAAAAGGAUGUGCCCUGUGAGUCCCACCACACAGCGCCUUUCUCAACCUUUGCCCUUCUCUUUGGGCUCCCACGGUGAUCUUUGUGAACAUUCAUACUCCAGGGAGCUGGCUGCAUUUGGCUGAUGUCUUCAUGUGCUCACAAAGUGUUGAGUGAUUUGUGAACCCUGGUUUGGGAAGCAAGGCUUUGAAUUAUCUGCACGUCUGUCUCACAGUCUUGCCGUCCUCACAGGCACUCUCCCAGUGAGAUGGUAAAGAUAUCCUGUUGCUCAGCAUGUCCAGGGCACCAUUUGACCAGCUAAUAAUCCUUGGUGGAAAAGAAACACCUCUUUUUCAGUAGUUCCAGGAAAAGUCCCAGGGCUGACUCUCAAGGAGCCAAUCUGGACCAUGAGCCCAUCCCAGAAGCAAUCUCUGUGGCCAGGAAGAUGGACUAUCCUGAGCUGAGGGAUGGGGUGGAGGUUAGCAAUAGCUGAACCACUUGAAUUGCAAGUGGGGUGUAGUUGGGGGGGGUAGUUCCCAAAUAGGAAAUCAGAAUGCUGGACUGUUGAAUGCUAAGCUGGCAAAAACACAGCUAGUCCACUAUAGACGAUGGCAGUGCUGUGCACCAGCUUGUAGCCCACUGCCUCGGACAGUGCAGGAGUUCAGUAAAGGUUUACUGAAUGAACACACAAAUGAUGAGAAAAGAACAUGUUUAGUGCCAAGCAAAGUUGCUCAUGAUUAUUCAUUACUUCCCACAAUAGCUCUGCAAAGAAGGCCUCAUUAUUUCCAUUUUGCAGAUGUAGAAAUUGAGGUUUAGAGAGUUUAUGGGAUCUGUCCAAGAUGACAGAAUGAAAAAGUGGUAGGGCUAGGACUCAAAGCCAGGUGGGUUUCAUUGCAGAGCUCGUGUUAUGCCUAUUAUACCACAUUGCCUUUGUCCAUCAAAAUUAUAGCCAGAGAAGAAAGAGUUUGAAAAUAUACCACUUUUAGGUGUAACAGUAAAAUAAACACAUUUGUUGGUCACCUUCCCACAGUUUACCACUGUACAAGCUCAAAUCUCCCUUUGUCUAGUCACUUCUCCCAAUUUAUUACUUUUUGUUAAAAUGGUUUAUAAGCCCCUGGAUUUAACCACCUUUUUGGGUUUUUAUUUCUUUUCUGUGAAACUUUAUGCACAUAUAAAUAUUAACACUAAUAAAAUUUG